rnacentral:rRNA from 1 species
GUAAGGGAAUCUUCCACAAUGGACGAAAGUCUGAUGGAGCAACGCCGCGUGAGUGAAGAAGGGUUUCGGCUCGUAAACUCUGUUGUUAAAGAAGAACAUAUCUGAGAGUAACUGUUCAGGUAUUGACGGUAUUUAACCAGAAAGCCACGGCUAACUACGUGCCAG